CAGUAGCCGCGGUAAUACAGAGGGUGCAAGCGUUAAUCGGAAUUACUGGGCGUAAAGCGCGCGUAGGUGGUUCGCCAAGUUGGAUGUGAAAUCCCCGGGCUCAACCUGGGAACUGCAUCCAAAACUGGCGAGCUAGAGUAUGGUAGAGGGUGGUGGAAUUUCCUGUGUAGCGGUGAAAUGCGUAGAUAUAGGAAGGAACAUCAGUGGCGAAGGCGACUACCUGGACUGAUACUGACACUGAGGUGCGAAAGCGUGGGGAGCAAACAGGAUUAGAUACCCCGGUAGUCCCUGUCUCUUAUAC
rnacentral:rRNA from 1 species